GUGGACGAACCUCUGGUGUUCCGGUUGUCACGCCAGUGGCAUUGCCGGGUAGCUAUGUUCGGAAAAGAUAACCGCUGAAAGCAUCUAAGCGGGAAACUUGCCUCAAGAUGAGAUCUCACUGGGAACUCGAUUCCCCUGAAGGGCCGUCGAAGACUACGACGUUGAUAGGCUGGGUGUGUAAGCGUUGUGAGGCGUUGAGCUAACCAGUACUAAUUGCCCGUGAGGCUUGACCAUAUAACACCCAAACA
rnacentral:rRNA from 1 species